ACGCCGGCGGCAGGCCUAACACAUGCAAGUCGAGCGGAAACGAGUUAUCUGAACCUUCGGGGAACGAUAACGGCGUCGAGCGGCGGACGGGUGAGUAAUGCCUAGGAAAUUGCCCUGGUGUGGGGGAUAACCAUUGGAAACGAUGGCUAAUACCGCAUAAUACCUACGGGUCAAAGAGGGGGACCUUCGGGCCUCUCGCGUCAGGAUAUGCCUAGGUGGGAUUAGCUAGUUGGUGAGGUAAUGGCUCACCAAGGCGACGAUCCCUAGCUGGUCUGAGAGGAUGAUCAGCCACACUGGAACUGAGACACGGUCCAGACUCCUACGGGAGGCAGCAGUGGGGAAUAUUGCACAAUGGGCGCAAGCCUGAUGCAGCCAUGCCGCGUGUGUGAAGAAGGCCUUCGGGUUGUAAAGCACUUUCAGUCGUGAGGAAGGUAGUGUAGUUAAUAGCUGCAUUAUUUGACGUUAGCGACAGAAGAAGCACCGGCUAACUCCGUGCCAGCAGCCGCGGUAAUACGGAGGGUGCGAGCGUUAAUCGGAAUUACUGGGCGUAAAGCGCAUGCAGGUGGUUUGUUAAGUCAGAUGUGAAAGCCCGGGGCUCAACCUCGGAAUAGCAUUUGAAACUGGCAGACUAUAGUACUGUAGAGGGGGGUAGAAUUUCAGGUGUAGCGGUGAAAUGCGUAGAGAUCUGAAGGAAUACCGGUGGCGAAGGCGGCCCCCUGGACAGAUACUGACGGCGCAAGCCUGAUGCAGCCAUGCCGCGUGUGCUACCCCCCUCUACAGUACUAUAGACUAAACGAUGUCUACUUGGAGGUUGUGGCCUUGAGCCGUGGCUUUCGGAGCUAACGCGUUAAGUAGACCGCCUGGGGAGUACGGUCGCAAGAUUAAAACUCAAAUGAAUUGACGGGGGCCCUCACAAGCGGUGGAGCAUGUGGUUUAAUUCGAUGCAACGCGAAGAACCUUACCUACUCUUGACAUCCAGAGAACUUUCCAGAGAUGGAUUGGUGCCUUCGGGAACUCUGAGACAGGUGCUGCAUGGCUGUCGUCAGCUCGUGUUGUGAAAUGUUGGGUUAAGUCCCGCAACGAGCGCAACCCUUAUCCUUGUUUGCCAGCACUUCGGGUGGGAACUCCAGGGAGACUGCCGGUGAUAAACCGGAGGAAGGUGGGGACGACGUCAAGUCAUCAUGGCCCUUACGAGUAGGGCUACACACGUGCUACAAUGGCGCAUACAGAGGGCGGCCAACUUGCGAGAGUGAGCGAAUCCCAAAAAGUGCGUCGUAGUCCGGAUCGGAGUCUGCAACUCGACUCCGUGAAGUCGGAAUCGCUAGUAAUCGUGGAUCAGAAUGCCACGGUGAAUACGUUCCCGGGCCUUGUACACACCGCCCGUCACACCAUGGGAGUGGGCUGCAAAAGAAGUAGGUAGUUUAACCUUCGGGAGGACGCUUACCACUUUGUGGUUCAUGACUGGGGUG
rnacentral:rRNA from 1 species